rnacentral:rRNA from 1 species
GAGUUUGAUCGUGGCUCAGAUUGAACGCUGGCGGCAGGCCUAACACAUGCAAGUCGAGCGGUAGAGAGAAGCUUGCUUCUCUUGAGAGCGGCGGACGGGUGAGUAAUGCCUAGGAAUCUGCCUGGUAGUGGGGGAUAACGCUCGGAAACGGACGCUAAUACCGCAUACGUCCUACGGGAGAAAGCAGGGGACCUUCGGGCCUUGCGCUAUCAGAUGAGCCUAGGUCGGAUUAGCUAGUUGGUGAGGUAAUGGCUCACCAAGGCGACGAUCCGUAACUGGUCUGAGAGGAUGAUCAGUCACACUGGAACUGAGACACGGUCCAGACUCCUACGGGAGGCAGCAGUGGGGAAUAUUGGACAAUGGGCGAAAGCCUGAUCCAGCCAUGCCGCGUGUGUGAAGAAGGUCUUCGGAUUGUAAAGCUAC